UACGACUACAUAUCAGGCAUAUCAAUAAGCGGAGGAAAAGAAACUAACAAGGAUUCCCUUAGUAACGGCGAGUGAAGCGGGAAGAGCUCAAAUUUGAAAUCUUCAAGGUUCUACCUUGACGAAUUGUAGUUUAAAGAAGUGUUUUCUGUUAGAUGAGUAGCAAAAGUUCCUUGGAAUGGGACAUCAUAGAGGGUGAGAAUCCCGUAUUUGGUUAUUCAUUCUAGCUUUGUGAUACACUUUCAAAGAGUCGGAUUGUUUGGGAAUGCAGUCCAAAAUGGGUGGUAAAUUUCAUCUAAAGCUAAAUAUUGGCGAGAGACCGAUAGCGAACAAGUACCGUGAGGGAAAGAUGAAAAGAACUUUGUAAAGAGAGUUAAACAGUACGUGAAAUUGUCAAAAGGGAAGCGUUUGACACCAGUGUUGUUUUUCCGAAAAUCAAUUACGAAUGGCUUGAUUCUGUGUUGUAUUGACCUUAUCAGCUUUCUGCACUUUUUUCGAGUCUUUCUUAAUGCACUUUUCGGUUAACAAGUCAACAUCAAUUUCUUUUGUUGUAAAAGAGUAUUCGGAAGGUGGCUUUCUUUUCGGAGAAAGUGUUUAUAGCCCUAUACUUCUACAAUCGGAGAGAUUGAGGUCUGCAGCGUAGAUCCUUCGGGGUUAGAUACAUUUGUGCUAAGUUGUAGCUUUUCAUAGACAACUUGUUGACUAUGUUUAGUCAUGCGGCUUACUCGCUUAUGCUAUUUUACCUACGCUUAGGAUGUUGAGUAGCGACAUACGCAC
rnacentral:rRNA from 1 species